rnacentral:snoRNA from 1 species
ACGACCUUACUUGAACAGGAUCUGUUCUAUAGGCUCGUACCAUGAGCAUGGAGCCAGAGCGUGAUUAACAGAGCUUUGUGGGUUUACUCAUGGCUUAGUAGAGGAUCGUUGCUAGCCCAUCUGAUGGGUCUUGCAUGGCUUCAUGGUUGUCUGAC